UCUCGUAAACUCCCUUUCACCCAAGUCAUGAACAAUAUUUUCUACAGACAGAAAUGCCUUGGGAGCAAAGUUUUGGGGAAAUGAAGGAAAGACUCAGAAAAGAACAGCAGCAAGAGAAGGAGCAGCUUCUUUGAGUGAUUGUGAUGACAGGGAAAGCUAAUGGGAGGAAAUGAUUGAGAAGAUGAGUCAGUUUGAUGACUGUGGAGUGGAAGCUAGACAAGGCACAGUGGAGGGUAUUCCUAAUCUUCUGCAAGUCUCCAACACAGCUUUUAGGAAAUAUAGGAGGUUGAAAUUAGCCUAAUCAGUUUUUGGCAAUAAUAAUCAUGAUGAUGAUGGAUAUAAAGGAUAAGAAUGAGAAGAAGUGAGAGAAAGGAGGAGAGAGAAUAGAGAAGAAAGAAGAGAAAGAAGAAGAGGAGGAUAAUGGAGGCAAAGAUGGAGAGGAAGAAAACCAAGGUGUC
rnacentral:lncRNA from 1 species